CACGUAGGGACCAAGCGUUUGUCCGGAUUUAUUGGGCGUAAAGCGCUCGUAGGCGGUUUGGUAAGUCGGGUGUGAAACCUCCAGGCUCAACCUGGUGACGCCACCCGAUACUGCUAUGACUUGAGUUCGGUAGGGGAGCGGGGAAUUCCUGGUGUAGCGGUGAAAUGCGCAGAUAUCAGGAGGAACACCGGUGGCGAAGGCGCCGCUCUGGGCCGAAACUGACGCUGGAGGAGCGAAAGCGUGGGGAGCGAAC
rnacentral:rRNA from 1 species